CAAUCAAACUGCUACAAGACAACACCCUGAUCUGGCAUGGACAUUCUCAAUACCUUCACAGAGGUGAAGAAGCAGCAACCAAAUGAAUUAGACAGCAACAUGAUUCCUAGAGAAUGGCAAGACCAAUUCUUCAACUACUUCUUCAGCAUUUCUGAAACAUAUGGAAGAUGGCCCAUUGUGCUCUCUUAAUUCUUUGAUAAUCUGGACAUUGACUUUUCCAUUAUAUGACCUGGGCUUGUGGGCAUCAUGUCAUAAUGCACCUGUUCAGACAUCUCCCUGUACCAAUAUGGAUCACUUGAAGAGACUCCUUUGCCUCCAUCAAAAAGGAUACAGUUGUGUAUCUCUUCCAUUUUUGUUUACAGUGCCUAAAAUUAUUUGAGCAGUUUUUCACCUCUUCUCUGAUAAACACCUUAUUAGUCCUUAAAAAGAAAAGAAAAAAGGAAAAUAAAACUUUUAUUGAGAUCCUAA
rnacentral:sRNA from 1 species